AUUGAACGCUGGCGGCAGGCCUAACACAUGCAAGUCGAGCGAGCGGCGGACGGGUGAGUAAUGUCUGGGAACCUGUCUGUUGGCGGGGGAUAACUACUGGAAACGGUAUCUAAUACCGCAUACCCUCUGAUGUGGGCAGAUGGGAUUAGCUAGUAGGGGGGGUAACGGCUCACCUAGGCGACGAUCCCGAGCUGGUAUGAGAGGAUGACCAGCCACACUGGAACGGAGACACGGUCCAGACUCCUACGGGAGGCAGCAGUGGGGAAUAUUGCACAAUGGGCGCAAGCCUGAUGCAGCCAUGCCGCGUGUGUGAAGAAGGCCUUCGGGUUGUAAAGCACUUUCAGCGGGGAGGCGUUACCCGCAGAAGAAGCACCGGCUAACUCCGUGCCAGCAGCCGCGGUAAUUC
rnacentral:rRNA from 1 species